rnacentral:rRNA from 1 species
UUCGCCUGGUUUUACAAAAACAUUGUUUUUUGUAUUUAAUAUAAAAUAAUGUCUGCCCACUGAGGAUUUGAAUGGCUGCAGUAUAUUGACUGUGCAAAGGUAGCAUAAUAAAUAGUUUCUUGAUUGGGAGCUAGGAUGAAUGGCUUUAUGAGGGAUUUACUGUCUUAUGAGCAGAUUUAGAAUUUAAAGUUUGGGUAAAAAUGCUUGAAUGAAUGAAUGGGACGAGAAGACCCUAUAGAAUUUUAUUUUAUUAGUAAAAGGUUUGUGUAUAUUAAAGUUGAUUUGUUGGUUUAUAUAAAAUUUAAUUGGGGUGAUUGUAAAAUAUUUAACUUUUAUUUUGAUCUAAUUAUUUAUAAAUAUAUAUUUGAUCCAUAUUUAAUGAUUAUAAGAUAAAUUACCUUAGGGAUAACAGCGUUAUUUGUUCGGAUAGUUCGUAUUGAUGAAUGAGAUUGCGACCUCGAU